UCCUGGUUGAUGUAUUAAUAUUGCAUGCUAUGCACGACUAAAGCUUUUGGUUUGUGUCUGUGAUUUUUUUCUUCAUUAUUAUGAAUCCACUACACAAUCAAUCAUGUCUUAUUGUUGCGUUUGCGUUUGCUUAUCAAGUAAUUGGUCAAGAUACCCAAAAAACCAUCGUUGGCUGCAUAAGUGACAAUGUCACGUUGUCCUUUGAUUUACCUGAGAAGAAGGACCGUACUGUGGAAAGCUAUAUUUGGUACAAACAGGAUGUACCAGGGGAUCCCAGCUUCGCCAAAUACACUGUAGCUGAAAACAAGUUUGAAAUCUACAGAGAUGCCCAAGAUCGACUCCUCCAUAAUCAUAAAGAUUCAUCACAGCUAAGAAAUUUAGUUUUAUUGAAUGUGAAGAAAAGUGAUGAGUCUAAAUAUGUACUGGUAAUUAAUUAUGUCAACGUCACACAACAAACAUCGGAAUAUCUCUUACGAUUGUCAGUAAAAGGUGUUUGCUUUGGAAAACCCGAACAAGUAGAGGGAUGCACAGAAUCAACAUGUUUUACAGGAGAGAACGGACACCUUAAAAUGAUUUACGAUGACCAGGCAGGCGAGACACAAACCGUAAAUGGUUACACAGUGGUAAGAAACUGUACGAGUGGUGUCUCUAUUGGCUACUCCUGCUGUAAUGCAGCCGGAGACUGUGAGCAACAAAUGCUCAUAGUACCCGAAGGUCCGUCACUUUUGAACACCAACGAAUGAAAAUGAGAUUAAGCUCCGCCCAUUGUGACAAGCGGUCCAACAUCUCAUCGACUGGUCCAACAUCUCAAUCAGCGGUCAAACAUCGUUAUUUCCCGAUCAUGACAAGGAGCACAGGGCGGAUGUGAUCGGUCGGCAGGAGAUGCUUAGUCCUCCAUGACACCUUAUCCCAUGUUUUGGAGAUCGGACAAUGUCCAAGAACUUGCUGCAACAUUGCAACAGGAAUGGAAUAAACUCCCCCAAAAUGACCUUGGCCGUCUCGUUAGGAGUAUGCCACGCCGAUUCGGAGUUUGUCAGGCUAGCCGAGAGGGGUUU